GGAGGUUUUGCUUGCUGAUCAGUGUGCCAGGACUCAAGGUCAAGAGAAGUGGCAGACACACACACACAUUUAGGUUUAUACAGGGUUCAGUGCUGUUUUUUGGUGUGAAUGCAUUUCCCUGUGAUUUAAAGUGCUUCAGAAGGCAGGAAGGGCUGUUGGUAGCUGCACUCCAUAAAAGGUAUUUUGCUGAAUUACACUGACUGGGCAGAUCACCUAGAGCUCAGCAGCCUCCGACAGACCCUGAAGGCUCCAGGAGCUUUUGUGGAAAGAACCGACAGAGAGA
ensembl:lncRNA